rnacentral:rRNA from 1 species
GACAGAGGGGGCAAGCGUUGCUCGGAAUCACUGGGCGUAAAGGGCGCGUAGGCGGGAUGGCAAGUCGGUCGUGAAAUCCUUCGGCCCAACCGAAGAACGUCGGCCGAUACUGCCGUUCUUGAGGGAUGCAGAGGAGAUUGGAAUUCCCGGUGUAGCGGUGAAAUGUGUAGAGAUCGGGAGGAACACCGGUGGCGAAGGCGGGUCUCUGGGCAUCUCCUGACGCUGAGGCGCGAAAGCGUGGGGAGCAAACGGG